rnacentral:rRNA from 1 species
CCUACGGGUGGCUGCAGUGAGGAAUAUUGGUCAAUGGGAGAGAUCCUGAACCAGCCAAGCCGCGUGAGGGAAGACGGCCCUAUGGGUUGUAAACCUCUUUUGUCGGAGAACAAAACCCGGGACGUGUCCCGGACUGCGUGUAUCCGAAGAAAAAGCAUCGGCGAACGCCGUGCCAGCAGCCGCGGUAAUACAGGGGAUGCGAGCGUUAUCCGGAUUUAUUGGGUUAAAAGGGGGCGUAGGCGGUCCGUUAAGUCAGCGGUAAAAUUGCGGGGCGCACCCCCGCCGAGCAGAUGAAACUGGCAGACUUGAGUGCGCGAGAGGUACGCGGAAUGCGCGGUGUAGCAGUGAAAUGCAUAGAUAUCGCGCAGAACGCCGAUUGCGGAGGCAGCGUACCGGCGCCAGACUGACGCUGAGGCACGAAAGCGUGGGGAUCGAACAGGAUUAGAUACCCGAGUAGUC